rnacentral:rRNA from 1 species
UACGUAGGGUGCGAGCGUUAAUCGGAAUUACUGGGCGUAAAGCGUGCGCAGGCGGUUUUGUAAGCCAGAUGUGAAAUCCCCGGGCUUAACCUGGGAAUGGCAUUUGGGACUGCAAGGCUCGAGUGCGGCAGAGGAGACUGGAAUUCCUGGUGUAGCAGUGAAAUGCGUAGAUAUCAGGAGGAACACCGAUGGCGAAGGCAGGUCUCUGGGCUGACACUGACGCUGAGGCACGAAAGCUAGGGGAGCGAACGGG